CACGUAGGGGGCAAGCGUUGUCCGGAUUUAUUGGGCGUAAAGAGCUCGUAGGCGGUUCGAUAAGUCGGGUGUGAAACCUCCAGGCUCAACCUGGAGACGCCACCCGAUACUGUUGUGACUGGAGUCCGGUAGGGGAGCGUGGAAUUCCUGGUGUAGCGGUGAAAUGCGCAGAUAUCAGGAAGAACACCCGUGGCGAAGGCGGUUCUCUGGGACGGUACUGACGCUGAGACGCGAAAGCGUGGGGAGCGAACAGG
rnacentral:rRNA from 1 species